GAAAGCCCUGCGGUUUUUCUUCCGGCAUUCUGCACUCUUGCCCUCCACGCGCGGCCAGUGAGCUGCGGUCUUGGGCGAGAGGGAAAGUGAACAAGGCUUCUUCCAGAUCUCACUGGCUAGCGUAGGAAGCAGUAACCACACCUCUGAAACAGGACACACUUGGUGCUAAAGCCAGCGCCAGCACAAGCCCAACAAGCCAAUUCUACUGUGUACAAAGAACUCUUAAAGCUCAAAGAUAAGAAAACAGAAUUUAAGAAUGGGCAAAAGAUCUCAACAAAGAUAUACUGAUGGCAAAAAAGCAUAUGAAAAGACACAACAUCAUAUGUCAUUCAGGAACUGCAAAUCAAAACAAUGAGGCCCCUACACAUCUAUUAAAAUGGCUAAAAUCCAAAACACUGACAAUACCAAACACUGGUAAGGAUGUGGAGAAACAACUCUCAUUUUUUUUGCUGGUGGGAAUGCAAAAUAUGAUAACCACUUGGAAAAACAGCUUGGCAGGUUUUCGGUUUUGGUUUUUUAACAAAGCUUUCCAUAUGAUCCAGCAAUCACACUCCUAGACGUUUACCCAAUUGAGAUGAAAAUUUAUGUCCACACAAAAACCUGUACAAGAAUUAUUUACAGGAGCUUUAUUCCUAACUGCCAAAAACUAGAAGCAACCAAAAUGUCCUUCAAUAGGUGACUGAAUAAACUGUAGUGCAUUCAGACAAUGGAAUAUUAUUCAGUGAUAAAAAGAAAUAAAAUGAGCUAUCAAGCCAUGAAAAGAUGUGAAGGAACCUUAAAUGCAUAUUGCUAAGUGAAAGAAGCUAGUCUGAAAAGACUCCAUACUAUAUGACAUUCUGGAAAACAGAAAACUUUUAUAAAGGCAAUAGAAUAGUGGUUGCCAGGGAUUUGAGGGAUGGAAGUAAGGGAGUAGUGAUGAAUAGGUGAAGCAGAGGGGAUUUUUAGAGCAGUGAAUAAUACUACAAUGGUGGAAACAUUCAUCAAAACCUAUAAUUGUACAACACAAAGAAUAAUCCUUAAUAUAAAAUAUGAACUUAAGCUAAUAAUGUAUCAGUACUGGUUCAUUAACUAUAACAAAUGUAACCACACUAAAGCAAAAGAUUUUACUAGAAGAAACUUAGAAGGGAGGGAAGUAUACAGGAACUCUGUAUUAUCUAAAUUUUUCUGUAAAUCUAAAAAUGUUCUUUAAAAAGGCUUAAUUUUUUAAAAAGUUUUAUGUAAUAUUUAGCUUUAUUAUUUACAAAGGAAUGAAUUUAACAGUAUUGUGUGUAAUUUUAUUUAAAUAUUUACUGACAAUUUAGAUGAUAUGUCCUAGGAAUAGACUAGGUCAGUCAUAAAGAGACUAGGUAAGGCAUGAAGCCAUUUCUGACCAUUUCCCCUUCCUUUACACCACAGUUUUUAGUCACUAAAAACUGUUAACCAUUCCUUCAACAUAUUUACAUAAUUCUCACUGUUUUUCUUAAAAAAAACAAAACCAAGCCUCUUUAGAUUAUAAAUGUUAGUUGCUGCAAAUUUGAAAAACAUAGAAAAGCAUAAAGAAAAAUAAAAAGUACCCAGAGAUAACCACCACUACAACAUCCCAGCUGUGCUACAUACAAGCUGGAUGACUUUGAAAAAAAAAAAAAAAAAAAGCUGGAUGACUUUGGACAAGUUAUCUGAUCUCUCUGUGCCUCAGUUUCCUGAAAUGGAAAAGUCUGGGAAUCAAAGACUAAGUCUGUCACUAAACCCCAGCAAAAUUUUAGAGUAGUUAAUUAAACAGAUGACUUACAUGUCUACACUUAAACUUCACUGGCCUAUAUAGGCAAGUCUAUAGAACACCAACUGGAUUUCAGAGAUUUGUUCAGAAUCUCCAAAUUGUCUGCAAACUUGAUCAUGGUCUAUGCUUGAUAUGAUUUUCUCUCCCAUCUAGAAAGCUUGGCUCAGUAACCUCUAAUCCUUACAUCGCCUUUAAAAACCUCAUUUACUUUUGUAAUACUGUCUGGUUGUGAAACCUUUUAUUAUGAAAACCAGUGUUCUGAAAAUGAUUCAGAAUUAAAAACAAAUUUUAAGUUCUAGAAAGCUUCUAGAACUUGUAUAUAAUUAAAUGAAUAAAUACUGACUAAAACUUUCUUAUUGAAAAACUCUACCCAAAAAUGUGCUAAUAAGGGCUUCCCUGGUGGUGCAGUGGUUGAGAGUCCGCCUGCCGAUGCAGGGUACACGGGUUCGUGCCCCGGUCCGGGAAGAUCCCACGUGCCGCGGAGCGGCUGGGCCCGUGAGCCAUGGCCACUGAGUCUGCACGUCGGAGCCUGUACUCCGCAACGGGAGAGGCCACAACAGUGAGAGGCCCGCGUACCGCAAAAAAAAAAAAAAAAGUGCUAAUAAGUAAAUCCAGAGUUUUGAAGAUGUGAGGUUUUAUAUUUGCAAAAAUAUGGUAUUAUUAUUAUUAUGGCACAGUUCAUUAAAUGAGUUUUGGGUUCCCAAUUCUAGCCACUUAAAUUAUACCUCCUUACAAGAUCAGAGGAAUUCAAGGUGCUGUUUUCUGAUGCAACCACUCAUCUUUGGAGAUUUAAGACCACCAUAGUGGUAUUUCACUACUGAUGCAAGUUUCUCCAAAGAUAGUAAUUUGCACCAAAAAGCAAAACAGGUCAUCAGAGGACCUGGGCUGUACAGGAGUUGGAAAGUCAUGUUACUUUGAGAAAAGCACUGCAAGAAGUAUGUCCUCAGGAAAGUCUGAAGACUUGAAAAGAUGACUGGAAAACAGGCACAAUUCUAUGGUUAGAGUCUGGAACUGGCUCCAAUGGGUGGUGUAUUUCAAACACUUGGAUAAAGCAAUCACUGGUCACUGACGCUAGCUGGCUUGUGUAGCAGAAAAGGCUUCCAUUAAGAAAAUUUUCUGGUGGUUAAGAAUCCGCCGGCCAAUGCAGAGGACACAGGUUCAAGCCCUGGUCCGGGAAGAUCCCACAUGCCGUGGAGCAACUAAGCCCGUGCGCCACAACUGCUGAGCCUGCACUCUAGAGCCCGCAAGCCACAACUACUGAGCCCACAUGCCACAACUACCGAAGCCCACACACCUAGAGCCCAUGCUCCGCAACAAGAGAGGCCACCACAAUGAGAAGCCCUCGCACCACAACAAAGAGUAGCCCCGGCUCACCACGACUAGAGAAAGCCCGCACGCAGCAACAAAGACCCAACGCAGCCAAAAUUAAAUAAAUAAAGCCAUCCCUCUCAA